rnacentral:tRNA from 1 species
GUUGCCGUGGCCGAGUGGUUAAGGCGAUAGACUUGAAAUCUUUUGGGAUUUUCCCGCGCAGGUUCGAAUCCUGCCAACAACG